AGCGCUGCAUCACAAUGCCAAGGUGUCCUUCAUGAUCUCAGGGGCCAUUGUGAAAACACCUGUGUGCCAGGCAGCCCUGUGAAGAAGGUGGAAGUAGGCAUCACAGAGUCAGGAACAGUGAUGGGUCUGGUUCCACUCCGGAGAGGCAGGUUGUGGGGGUGGGUCUGGAUACUGAUUGUGGCUGCAGGGCCAGCAUGCCAGGGCCUUCAGAAUCCUCCAGUGGUUCAUGGAGACGGACAGGAAAGUGCCCUUGAGGAGACAGACAUCCAUCGCAACAUAAGAAGAGGAGGAAGCUGAUGCAUGAGGGUCCCUGAGAAGAAGGAGCAUAGAGGGACCCAGAGCUGUGCGAAGGAAGGGGCUUGGGGACAGUAGGGCCCUUCUCUGUCAAAUCAGGAGAACGAGGGAAGGUGGGAGACAGAUGGCAGCAAUGGGAGAUUGAGGAGAUGCCCUCUGAUGUCCUCCCUUUCCUGAGAGGUGGAAGGUGACGCCAUCUGUGGAAGUUUCUCUGUUCCUGGAACCAGACCUCUCAGACUCAGCUUCCCCAGGAAUGUCCUUCUGACAUCACUGCGAGUGAGAACUCUCUGGGGCCCCCCUCCUCCCCCCGCCCACCUGUCCUGCACACCUGCUGCAAUAACCUCUCUAGAGUGGCUGUGGCUGUGUCACCUCCAUGCAGCUGCCCCUUUUGCAGCGCCCAGUACCUAGAAAUAAAGCUCUUAGGUCUUCUUACUU